GCCAGGUGUGGUGGCUCAUGCCUGUAACCCAGCACUUUGGGAGGCUGAGGUGGGCAGAUCAGCUUAAGCCAAGCAUCAAGCCUGCAAUGAGCUGUGAUUGUGCCACUGCACUGCAGUCUGGGCAACAGAGCAAGACCCUAUCNGAUAGGGUCUUGCUCUGUUGCCCAGACUGCAGUGCAGUGGCACAAUCACAGCUCAUUGCAGGCUUGAUGCUUGGCUUAAGCUAUUCUCCCACCUCAG
rnacentral:SRP_RNA from 1 species